UACCAGACUCCUACGGGAGGCAGCAGUGGGGAAUAUUGCACAAUGGGGGAAACCCUGAUGCAGCGACGCCGCGUGAGCGAUGAAGUAUUUCGGUAUGUAAAGCUCUAUCAGCAGGGAAGAAGAUGACGGUACCUGACUAAGAAGCCCCGGCUAACUACGUGCCAGCAGCCGCGGUAAUACGUAGGGGGCAAGCGUUAUCCGGAUUUACUGGGUGUAAAGGGAGCGUAGACGGCGAUGCAAGCCAGAUGUGAAAGCCCGGGGCUCAACCCCGGGACUGCAUUUGGAACUGUGUGGCUGGAGUGUCGGAGAGGCAGGCGGAAUUCCUAGUGUAGCGGUGAAAUGCGUAGAUAUCAGGAGGAACACCGGUGGCGAAGGCGGCCUGCUGGACUGCAACUGACGUUGAGGCCCGAAAGCGUGGGGAGCAAACAGGAUUAGAUACCCCGGUAC
rnacentral:rRNA from 1 species